rnacentral:rRNA from 1 species
AGCGAACGCUGGCGGCAGGCCUAAUACAUGCAAGUCGAGCGCACCUUCGGGUGAGCGGCGGACGGGUGAGUAACGCGUGGGAACGUGCCCUUUGGUACGGGAUAACUGAGGGAAACUUCAGCUAAUACCGUAUGUGCCCUACGGGGGAAAGAUUUAUCGCCAUUGGAGCGGCCCGCGUUGGAUUAGGUAGUUGGUGAGGUAAAGGCUCACCAAGCCUACGAUCCAUAGCUGGUCUGAGAGGAUGAUCAGCCACACUGGGACUGAGACACGGCCCAGACUCCUACGGGAGGCAGCAGUAGGGAAUCUUGCGCAAAGGGCGAAAGCCUGACGCAGCCAUGCCGCGUGAAUGAUGAAGGUCUUAGGAUUGUAAAAUUCUUUCACCGGGGAAGAUAAUGACGGUACCCGGAGAAGAAGCCCCGGCUAACUUCGUGCCAGCAGCCGCAGUAAAAC